UGUGAAGGAGGUCUUGUGUUCGAAUCUUGGCGGGGACAUUAUUUUUGCUCGUGCGUCCAGGAGAGUUUGAGAUGGACUAAAAAUCUGAGUAGUGGAUUUAGUGGGGACUUUGAUGGAGAAAAAUAAGGGAUUGGGGUGGUUAUCAAAUAUUCUGUUCAUUUUUUUCCCUUUUUUUUUACUUUCUCCAAAACCCUUCACCCUAUUGCCGUUUUUCUCUUCAUUACUGCCGAAUUUCUGCUCACUUUCACCCUUCAUCUUCUUGAUUUUUCUUUUCCCACUUUGCCUCGUGUCGCUCCACGUUCGUAUGUGAUCAUUCGAUAAGUUUUUGAUAAGUGAUUUGUCUCCAUUUGUUAAAUUUCUUCUGAAGUAUUUUGUUUAUGCCAAUAAGGGGAGGAUUCAAGGGCUCGUAAUCACCAAUCAGAGUCUUAGUUUGUGUGGGAAUUACUGUUCAUCGAUGAAGGUAAGGUUUAGUCGCUUAUGGGUUAAAACCUCGAUACGAGUUCAAUUUGGGAUCACG
rnacentral:lncRNA from 1 species